GAGUUUGAUCCUGGCUCAGGAUGAACGCUGGCGGCGUGCCUAAUACAUGCAAGUCGAGCGAACAGAUAAGGAGCUUGCUCCUUUGACGUUAGCGGCGGACGGGUGAGUAACACGUGGGUAACCUACCUAUAAGACUGGAAUAACUCCGGGAAACCGGGGCUAAUGCCGGAUAAUAUUUAGAACCGCAUGGUUCUAAAGUGAAAGAUGGUUUUGCUAUCACUUAUAGAUGGACCCGCGCCGUAUUAGCUAGUUGGUGGGGUAAUGGCUUACCAAGGCAACGAUACGUAGCCGACCUGAGAGGGUGAUCGGCCACACUGGAACUGAGACACGGUCCAGACUCCUACGGGAGGCAGCAGUAGGGAAUCUUCCGCAAUGGGCGAAAGCCUGACGGAGCAACGCCGCGUGAGUGAUGAAGGUCUUCGGAUCGUAAAACUCUGUUAUUAGGGAAGAACAAAUGUGUAAGUAACUGUGCACGUCUUGACGGUACCUAAUCAGAAAGCCAC
rnacentral:rRNA from 1 species